GCCUUGAACAUAUAAUUAAUGCUAAAUGUGUUCCUAUCAAAUAUCGAGGUUUAUCAAUAUAAUAGCGGUAAUUGAUCGUUUAAAUAAUUUUUGUGAAAUGUAUGUUUGCAGUAAAUAUCUCUUAUGUACAUACGUAUUUGCAUUUGUUUCAAACUUCACCAAUAUGAUCAUGAUAAUUGUAUCGUACAUGUGUGUCAUAUCGUAUGUUUAUAAACUAUUUUAUAUAAAAUGUAUAGUGGGAAUAUUCAAAAUAAGUGUCCACAAGUGCUGGAGUAUUUUCGAGAGCCUAUACAAGCCCUGGUAAGCUGCUGCUUAGUCUGUAUCGAAUUUGCCACAUUACAACUAUCAG
rnacentral:misc_RNA from 1 species